GAUGAACGCUAGCGGCAGGCUUAACACAUGCAAGUCGAGGGGUAUAGUUCUUCGGAAUUAGAGACCGGCGCACGGGUGCGUAACGCGUAUGCAAUCUACCUUUCACAGAGGGAUAGCCCCAGAGAAAUUUGGAUUAAUACCUCAUAGUAUAGUACUUUGGCAUCAAGGAACUAUUAAAGUCACAACGGCAAAAGAUGAGCAUGCGUCCCAUUAGCUAGUUGGUAAGGUAACGGCUUACCAAGGCUACGAUGGGUAGGGGUCCUGAGAGGGAGAUCCCCCACACUGGUACUGAGACACGGACCAGACUCCUACGGGAGGCAGCAGUGAGGAAUAUUGGACAAUGGGCGCAAGCCUGAUCCAGCCAUGCCGCGUGCAGGAAGACGGUCCUAUGGAUUGUAAACUGCUUUUAUACAGGAAGAAACCCUCCCACGUGUGGGAGCUUGACGGUACUGUAGGAAUAAGGNUCGGCUAACUCCGUGCCAGCAGCCGCGGUAAAG
rnacentral:rRNA from 1 species